rnacentral:rRNA from 1 species
GACGUAGGGGGGCGAGCGUUGUCCGGAUUCAUUGGGCGUAAAGAGCUCGUAGGCGGUUUGUCGCGUCGGGAGUGAAAACCUUGGGCUUAACUCAGGGCUUGCUUUCGAUACGGGCAGACUAGAGGUAUGCAGGGGAGAACGGAAUUCCUGGUGUAGCGGUGAAAUGCGCAGAUAUCAGGAGGAACACCGGUGGCGAAGGCGGUUCUCUGGGCAUGAUCUGACGCUGAGGAGCGAAAGUGUGGGGAGCGAACAGG